UUGCCUACGGGGCGCAGCAGUGAGGAAUAUCGGUCAAUGGGCGAGAGCCUGAACCAGCCAAGUCGCGUGAGGGAAGACGGUCCUAUGGAUUGUAAACCUCUUUUGCCGGGGAGCAAAAAGCGGUACGUGUACCGCAUCGAGAGUACCCGGAGAAAAAGCAUCGGCUAACCCCGUGCCAGCAGCCGCGGUAAUAUGGAGGAUUCAAGCGUUAUCCGGAUUUAUUGGGUUUAAAGGGUGCGUAGGCGGUUCGAUAAGUUAGAGGUGAGAUCCCGGGGCUCAACUCCGGCACUGCCUCUGAUACUGUC
rnacentral:rRNA from 1 species